AAUUUUAGGGCCCUGGAGCAAAGCUCCAGCGGUCCCACCCUAGCUAAAUCCCUAGCACAGAUUUUAUGAACCCACCAGUCCUCGACGCCACCACCAACCACGGCCAUCAAACAGUGGAGGCUUGGAAUAUCUCCCCCUCACUCUUCAGAACCGACACCAAGACAUUCCUUCUCUUUCAGUGACUGAGGCUUUAGAAUGAGGACUCCCUUGAACAAGAUUCCGGUGCUUGGCAUCUUGUUCCUGAUGCUCUCUUUCCCAACAGAUGGAAAACUUGCUUGCCACUUAUGCCCUCAUGUUGCAAGAGACAGCCGCUGUACAACAUUACAAAGUGCCUGUGAAACCGAUGGAUACUGCUAUGUCGGAAGAUUUUCCGUAGGGGGAAGGACUAUUAGAGUAACCAGAGGCUGCACAAAUGUAUGCAGGAACUUCAUACAUGUGGUGAAGAGCAGCUUAGAACAUAAUUGGUGCUGCGAGCGUGAUUAUUGUAACACCUAUAAUGCUUGGUCCUGGGAAACACUGUUAUGAAUGCCUCGUGGAUUUGGCGUAGCCCUUUCAUGCCUACAACAGUCUGGAAAAAUAAAGAGUUUGAAUCAUGCA
rnacentral:lncRNA from 1 species